rnacentral:lncRNA from 1 species
GAAGGACGGAGGCUCCCACAUAGACGCGACGGUCUCACCCCAUCCACAGGAGCCCAUGCUGGCAGCCUCCCCUCGCAUGCUGCUCCCUUCUUCUUCUUCCUCGAAGCCACCGGGCUUGGGCACUGGGACGCCCCUGUCCACUCACCACCAGAUGCAGCUCCUCCAGCAGCUCCUCCAGCAGCAGCAGCAGCAGACACAAGUGGCUGUGGCUCAGGUUCUCCUCAGCCUCCUCCCUUCUUCCCAGACUCCACUCUCAUGGGCUUGACGCACCUUCCCUAGCGAGGGGCUCAGGGCAGGUUUAAAACCUAGGGAGCUCCAAGGAACUGCUCAUGCUCUUGGUUCACUGCUCGUUGGGAUUCCGGGAAGUGAAAGGGGAGGGGGACAGAUGGGGACUGCGGUUAAAAUGG